rnacentral:rRNA from 1 species
AACUAACGCUGGCGGCGUGCCUAACACAUGCAAGUCGUACGAGAAAGUUGGCUUCGGCUGAUGAGUAAAGUGGCGCACGGGUGAGUAACGCGUGGAUAAUCUGCCUUUUAGUUGGGAAUAACGUACCGAAAGGUGCGCUAAUACCGGAUAAUACUGCAUAACUACUGUUGUGUAGUCAAAGAAGGCCUCUGUUUACAAGCUUUUGCUGAAAGAUGAGUCCGCGUACCAUUAGCUAGUUGGUAGGGUAAUGGCCUACCAAGGCUACGAUGGUUAGCUGGUCUGAGAGGAUGAUCAGCCACACUGGAACUGAGACACGGUCCAGACUCCUACGGGAGGCAGCAGUGAGGAAUAUUGCGCAAUGGGGGCAACCCUGACGCAGCAACGCCGCGUGAGUGAGGAAGGUUUUCGGACCGUAAAGCUCUGUCGAGUGGGAAGAAAUGUAUUGUGGCUAAUAUCCAUGAUAUUUGACGGUACCGCUAAAGGAAGCACC